rnacentral:rRNA from 1 species
UCUCCCCGAAAUAGCUUUAGGGCUAGCGUCGAGAGAAGAGUUGCGUGAAGGUAGAGCACUGAAUAUGUGAUGGCCCCAUCUCGGGGUACUGAGCAUAAUCAAACUGCGAAUGUCACGCCAACAUGCUCGGCAGUCAGACAGCGGGUGAUAAGGUCCGUUGUCAAGAGGGAAACAGCCCAGACCAUCAGCUAAGGUCCCAAAAUGUAUGCUAAGUGGAAAAGGAUGUGGAGAUGUACAGACAACUAGGAGGUUGGCUCAGAAGCAGCCAUCCUUUAAAGAGUGCGUAACAGCUCACUAGUCGAAUGACUCUGCGCCGAUAAUUUACCGGGGCUAAGCAUACUACCGAAGCUAUGGAUCCCAAGGGAUGGUAGGGGAGCGUUCCAUGAACGGAGAAGUACGACCGAAAGGACGUGUGGAGAUCAUGGAAGAGAGAAUGCCGGUGUGAGUAGCGGAACGUGGGUGAGAAUCCCACGCACCGAAAACCCAAGGUUUCCAGAGGAAGGUUCGUCCGCUCUGGGUAAGUCGGGACCUAAGGCGAGGCCGAAAGGCGUAGUCGAUGGACAACAGGUAGAGAUUCCUGUACCCGUAUAUAUGUGAAGGAAUGACGGAGAGAGGAAGCUGCAGCCAGCGGCUGGAAGAGCUGGUGCAAGCGAGAUAUCGGGAUGGCAGGCAAAUCCACCAUCCGAAACGAGAAGGCGUGAAGCGUACGGAAAGCUACGGCGAGUACGGAAGGCAGUGGAGGAACUUCCAAGAAAAGUUUCUAACGUUAAGUAUAUAUGGCCCGUACCGAAAAUGGACACACAUGGGUGAGGAGAGAAUCCUAAGGUGAGCGAGAGAACUAUAGCUAAGGAACUCUGCAAAAUGACUCCGUAACUUAGGGAGAAGGAGUGCUCAUAGAGAUAUGAGCCGCAGUGAAACGGCCCAAGCGACUGUUUACCAAAAACACAGCUCUCUGCUAAGCCGCAAGGCGAAGUAUAGGGGGUGACGCCUGCCCGGUGCUGGAAGGUUAAGGGGAGGGGUUAACGCAAGUGAAGCCCUGAACUGAAGCCCCAGUAAACGGCGGCCGUAACUAUAACGGUCCUAAGGUAGCGAAAUUCCUUGUCAGGUAAGUUCUGACCCGCACGAAAGGCGUAACGAUUUGGGCGCUGUCUCAGCUGUAGACUCGGUGAAGUCUUAGUACCUGUGAAGAUGCAGGUUACCCGCGACUAGACGGAAAGACCCCAUGGAGCUUCACUGCAGGUUGAUAUUGGGAUUUGAUGCAGCAUGUACAGGAUAGGUAGGAGGCAAAGAGAUGGAUACGCCAGUAUUCAAGGAGCCGCUGUUGGGAUACUACCCCUGUUGUAUUGGAUUUCUAACCGGACGACGUAGAGCCGUUGACGGGACAGUGUCAGUCGGGCAGUUUGACUGGGGCGGUCGCCUCCCAAAGAGUAACGGAGGCGCCCAAAGAUACCCUCAGCUUGGAUGGAAACCAAGCGCAGAGUGCAAAGGCAAAAGGGUGUUUGACUGCGAGACCCACAAGUCGAGCAGGGACGAAAGUCGGGCUUAGUGAUCCGGCGGUGCUGAAUGGAAAGGCCGUCGCUCAACGGAUAAAAGUUACCCUGGGGAUAACAGGCUGAUCUCCCCCAAGAGUUCACAUCGACGGGGAGGUUUGGCACCUCGAUGUCGGCUCAUCGCAUCCUGGAGCUGAAGUCGGUUCCAAGGGUUGGGCUGUUCGCCCAUUAAAGCGGUACGCGAGCUGGGUUCAGAACGUCGUGAGACAGUUCGGUCCCUAUCUGUCGUGGGCGCAGGAAAUUUGAGAAGAGCUGUCCUCAGUACGAGAGGACCGGGAUGGACGCAUCAAUGGUGGACCAGUUGUCACGCCAGUGGCAUAGCUGGGUAGCUAAAUGCGGAAGGGAUAAACGCUGAAGGCAUCUAAGUGUGAA